AUUGAACGCUGGCGGCAGGCCUAACACAUGCAAGUCGAGCGGAUGAAGGGAGCUUGUGCCUGGAUUAAGCGGCGGACGGGUGAGUAAUGCCUAGGAAGCUGACCGGUCGUGGGGGAUAACGUCAGGACACGGGCGCUAAUCCAGCAUCCGUUCAGAGGGUGAAAGUGGUGGAUCUUUAGAGCUCACGCUAUUAGAUGUGCCUGGGUCGCAUUAGCUAGUUGGUGUGGUAAAGGCUUACCAAGGCGACGAUCCGUAACUGGUCUGAGAGGAUGAUCAGUCACACUGGAACUGAGACACGGUCCAGACUCCUACGGGAGGCAGCAGUGGGGAAUAUUGGGCAAUGGGCGAAAGCCUGAUGCAGCCAUGCCGCGUGUGUGAAGAAGGUCUUCGGAUCGUAAAGCACUUUAAGUUGGGAAGAAGGGAAGUAAGUUAAUACCUUGCUGUUUUGACGGUACCUACAGAAAAAGCACCGGCUAACUUCGUG
rnacentral:rRNA from 1 species